rnacentral:sRNA from 1 species
AGUGCUGCCCCUGCUCCCCCACCUCCCUCUGGAGAACUUUCUGCAGCUCAGCCCUCACCAGAUCCAGGCCCUGGAGGAUAGCUGGCCAGCAGUAGGUCUGGGGCCAGGGCAUGCCCGCCAUGUGCUGCGCAGCCUGGUAAACCAGAGUGUCCAGGAUGGUGAGGAGCAGGAGCUGUCAGAGCCCCAGCUUAGAGCCAUGCUUCCUGUCCUGCAGGGAACUAGUGUUACACCUGCUCAGGCUGUCCUGCUGCUUGGACGGCUCCUUCCUAGGCACGAUCUAUCCCUGGAGGAACUCUGCUCCUUGCACCUUCUGCUACCAGGCCUCAGCCCCCAGACACUCCAGGCCAUCCCUAGGCGAGUCCUGGUCGGGGCUUGUUCCUGCCUGGCCCCUGAACUGUCACGCCUCUCAGCCUGCCAGACCGCAGCACUGCUGCAGACCUUUCGGGUAUGAGAGUGGCAAGGAGGAUGAGAUAAUCAGGGAUACCGGCUCUUUCUGGUUGGGAGGAGGGCAUCUUCCCUGAGGCCAGGGAAGGCCUUUCAUACCUCCCCACUUACACACACACACACACACAACCAAUUUUCAUGCAGGUUAAAGAUGGUGUUAAAAAUAUGGGUACAACAGGUGCUGGUCCAGCUGUGUGUAUCCCUGGUCAGGUAAGUGUGAGAUCUCCCAACUGAGCUCCUCUCCCCAUUCUGGGCAGUUUCAUAUGGCUGGUGCUAACUCCCACACUACCCUGCAGUGGCCCUGAGAGUUCCGGUUAGCUCUGUGCCUAUUAGCAGCCCUCCCCAGUGCCAGAUACAGGACAGCAUGAUCCACUCACAUUGUCCUAAACUAAUGUCAAAGCUGGAAGGGCCUGAGAAAUCUUCCAGGCCACCCACCCUGCUUUCAGAUGAAAAGACCAAGGCUGAGAGAAGCUAAGGGACUUUGUUCGCCUGGUGCCUAACUAGCAGCAACACUUGACCACAGCAGCCUGCAGUGUGAGGCUUUUAGGCGUUUAUUGCUACAGUGGCAAAUGCCAUUCCACUUCUGUCCUAGCUUUGGUCCCUUUCCACCCCCAUGAUUCCUUUUCUCUGAGUGCUAAGUCCAGACUCUUUCACCUAUCACUACACUGCUAUACCCAUCGCCGCCAGCAGCCUAUUCCCACCACCUGGCCAGACUGCCUGCUUCCCCUGCUCCCAUUAAAGCUGUUACAACUGGAUUCCUCGGCUCUUCUGGCAAAUCGAAGACGCUACUGGGAGCUGCCCUGGUCUGAGCAGCAGGCACAGUUUCUCUGGAAGAAGAUGCAAGUACCCACCAACCUGACCCUCAGGAAUCUGCAGGCUCUGGGCACCCUGGCAGGAGGCAUGUCCUGUGAGUUUCUGCAGCAGAUCAACUCCAUGGUAGACUUCCUUGAAGUGGUGCACAUGAUCUAUCAACUGCCCACCAGAGUUCGAGGGAGCCUGAGGGCCUGUAUCUGGGCAGAGCUACAGCGUAGGAUGGCAAUGCCAGAACCAGAAUGGACAACUCUAGGGCCAGAACUGAAUGGGCUGGAUAGCAAGCUACUCCUGGACUUACCGAUCCAGUUGAUGGACAGACUAUCCAAUGAAUCCAUUAUGUUGGUGGUGGAGCUGGUGCACAGAGCUCCAGAGCAGCUGCUGGCACUGACCCCACUCCACCAGGCAGCCCUGGCAGAGAGGGCACUACAAAACCUGGUUCCUGUCUACAAGGCCUGGCCCCUGUUUUGCCUCUGGGUUCUGUUCCUUGAUAAUAUGCUUCAUGUUACUUGUCCAUACCUCUCGGAGUCCGAGAAAUCUCUUGGAGUCCACCUCUCAGUCUUUCUGCCUGCUCCUAUGUGGGCUAAUUGCUUAAGAAAGAGAACAAAGGCUCCAAAGGAGACUCCAGUCUCAGGGGAAGUGCUGGAGACCUUAGGCCCUUUGGUUGGAUUCCUGGGGAUAGAGAGCACACGACAGAUCCCCCUACAGAUCCUGCUGUCCCAUCUCAGUCAGCUGCAAGGCUUCUGCCUAGGAGAGACAUUUACCACAGAGCUGGGAUGGCUGCUAUUGCAGGAGUCUGUUCUUGGGAAACCAGAGUUGUGGAGCCAGGAUGAAGUAGAGCAAGCUGGACGCCUAGUAUUCACUCUGUCUACUGAGGCAAUUUCCUUGAUCCCCAGGGAGGCCUUGGGUCCAGAGACCCUGGAGCGGCUUCUAGAAAAGCAGCAGAGCUGGGAGCAGAGCAGAGUUGGACAGCUGUGUAGGGGGCCACAGCUUGCUGCCAAGAAAGCAGCCCUGGUAGCAGGGGUGGUGCGACCAGCUGCUGAGGAUCUUCCAGAACCUGUACCAAAUUGUGCAGAUGUACGAGGGACAUUCCCAGCAGCCUGGUCUGCAACCCAGAUUGCAGAGAUGGAGCUCUCAGACUUUGAGGACUGCCUGACAUUAUUUGCAGGAGACCCAGGACUCGGGCCUGAGGAACUGCGGGCAGCCAUGGGCAAAGCAAAACAGUUGUGGGGUCCCCCCCGGGGAUUUCGUCUUGAGCAGAUCCUGCAGCUCGGUAGGCUCUUAAUAGGUCUAGGAGAUCGGGAACUACAGGAGCUGAUCCUAGUGGACUGGGGAGUGCUGAGCACCCUGGGGCAGAUAGAUGGCUGGAGCUCCACUCAGCUCCGCAUUGUGGUCUCCAGUUUCCUACGGCAGAGUGGUCGGCAUGUGAGCCACCUGGACUUCAUUCAUCUGACAGCGCUGGGUUAUACUCUCUGUGGACUGCGGCCAGAGGAGCUCCAACACAUCAGCAGUUGGGAGUUUAGCCAAGCAGCUCUCUUCCUGGGCACCCUGCAUCUCCAGUGCUCUGAGGAACAACUGGAGGUUCUGGCCCACCUCCUUGUACUGCCUGGUGGGUUUGGCCCAGUCAGUAACUGGGGGCCUGAGAUCUUCACUGAAAUUGGCACCAUAGCAGCUGGGAUCCCAGACCUGGCUCUUUCAGCACUGCUGCGGGGACAGAUCCAGGGCAUUACUCCUCUUGCCAUUUCUGUCAUCCCUCCUCCUAAAUUUGCUGUGGUGUUUAGUCCCACCCAACUAUCUAGUCUCACCAGUGCUCAGGCUGUGGCUGUCACUCCUGAGCAAAUGGCCUUUCUGAGUCCUGAGCAGCGACGAGCAGUUGCAUGGGCCCAACAUGAGGGGAAGGAGAGCCCAGAACAGCAAGGUCGAAGUACAGCCUGGGGCCUCCAGGACUGGUCACGACCUUCCUGGUCCCUGGUAUUGACUAUCAGCUUCCUUGGCCACCUGCUAUGAGCCUGUCUCUACAGUAGAAGGAGAUUGUGGGGAGAGAAAUCUUAAGUCAUAAUGAAUCAAGUGCAAACAGAAGUGCAUAAUGAAUAAAGUGCAAACAGAAGUG